rnacentral:lncRNA from 1 species
CUAUUUCAAUAUUUAUUGUAAAAAAAAACAACCUUAAAGUACCAAAAUACAUAUUUUAAGUGUGUUGCAGGAUUAAAUCCUUAAAUGAAAGUGAAGGAAUAAAUGUAUGGUUUAUACAAGGUAAAGUGACUUCCAUAUUGCUUCAUAUGUUGUUAUUCAGGAUAAUUUAGUGAUACAUAAAUUAAUUUACCUUUUAAAUGAUAUUUGCAAAAUCAGUUUCUUUGUUUUGCACACAAUUUUUUUUUAAAAUUACACCUAUUUUUACAUACAAAGUUUUUCAAUGUACCAUAAAAAAAAAAAACCAAGAUGCUGUAUAACCAUAGUUCACAUUUUGUUUGUAGCUAUUUAAAAUACUAUAAUAUUAACAAUUUGAAAAAUGGAAGAUUCAUCUACCAAUAUUUAUGGUUAAUUGAACAGAUGAACAAGUAAGUAAAAUACUUUUUUGGUCUAAACGAGAGACCAUUUUUAAGCUUGGCAAACGGUACAUACACUUUUUACUGUUAAAGACUAUGUUACCCUCUAGAUGGCUGUUCUAAUUUUACUGUGUUUUAGGGUUGUUGUCACAAUUUAAAAUAAUACCUAAAAUUAAAGCAUUAGUGAUUUUCUAUAGGAUAUUUAUCAUGUAAUAAUCUGGGGAGAAAUUCAUUUUCUGCACACAUACCAUAAGAAGACCUGAAAAGUGAACACUCUUGACAUCAAUAGUGAUUCAAUUUCAAAGAAUAAUUAACCGAUCAUUCUUUAUUAUACAAAAACACAGUAGGUAUGGAAAACUCCCCAAAAUAGAUUGAUAUGCAUAACAAUAUUUAAAAAAAAAUGAAAUUAAAAAUAUAUAUACAAAUUUGCACUUAAUGAAAACAUGGCACUAUAGAUUAUAAGCAUAUUAAAUUGUAUUGCUAAACUAUUUCAUAAAAUCACAAUAACCAAUAAAAAAUAAAGCUAAUGUAAAAAUCUUUGAAUAUUAAGUCAUGAAAUUU